rnacentral:tRNA from 1 species
GGCGCGGUGGCCGAGAAGCUAGGCAGCGGUCUGCAAAACCGCGUACACCGGUGCGAAUCCGGUCCGCGCCUCCA